CUCGUACUCCAGGACUAUCUUUAAUUUUUGAUACCAGCUAUUGAAAUUAGGUCCCAUUAGCUUAUUACUAUCCAAUAGCGAUCAGAGCGACAAAGAAGUGGCCAUAUCUAAAAUAAAAAUAAGAUCUAAUUAGUAUAUGAAUUGAUUAAGCCUAAAGAUUUGGACUUAAGUCUAAAGGUUCUCCUACUAUUUUAUAUGAAUUGAUAGCCUCUAUCUCUAAUUUGAUAAAUUACUUU
rnacentral:lncRNA from 1 species